rnacentral:rRNA from 1 species
AACGAACGCUGGCGGCAUGCCUAACACAUGCCAGUCGAACGAGACCUUCGGGUCUAGUGGCGCACGGGUGCGUAACGCGGGGGAACCUGCCCUUAGGUUCGGAAUAACUCCCCGAAAGGGGUGCUAAUACCGGAUAAUGUCUUCGGACCAAAGAUUUAUCGCCUUUGGAUGGGCCCGCGUUGGAUUAGCUAGUUGGUAGGGUAAAAGCCUACCAAGGCGACGAUCCAUAGCUGGUCGGAGAGGAGGAUCAGCCACGAUGGGACUGAGGCACGGCCCAGACGGCUACGGGGGGGAGCGGUGGGGAAUAUUAGGGGAUGGGCGAAAGCCUGAUACAGCAAUGCCGCGUGAGUGGUGAAGGCCUUAGGGUUGUAAAGCCCUUUUACCCGGGAUGAGAAUGACAGUACCGGGAGAAUAAGCACCGGCUAACUACGUG